rnacentral:rRNA from 1 species
UACCUAAUUGAUUUUGCUAAUAAUUAUAUGCUUAUCUCAAAAAUUAAGCCAUGCAUGUCUAAAUAUAAGUAACUAUACAGUGAAACUGUGAAUAGUUUAUUAAAUCAGUUAUCAUUUAUUUAAUAAUACCUUAUUACUUAAAUAACUAUGGUAAUUCUAAAGUUAAUACAUACUAAAAAUCCUGACCUCCAAAAAAAAUAUAUUUAUUAGAUAAAAAAUUAAUGCUUUCAGACUUUUUGGUGAUUCAUAAUAAUUUAAUGAAUCAUAUAAUUUUGUGCCAACAAUGGUUUAUUUAAAUUUUUAUUUUAUUAACUUUCAAUAAUAGGAUAGUGGUCUACCAUAGUUUUAAUGGAUAACGGGGAAUUAGGAUUUGAUUUUGGAGAGGGAAUUUAAGAAAUGGUUAUUAUAUCUAAGAAAAGCAGCAAAUGCGCAAAUUACCCAAUUUUAAUUCAAGGAGAUAAUAAUAAUAAAUACUGAUAUAAGGUUUUUUUAGAUCUUAUAAUUGGAAUGAAUACAAUUUAAAUUUUUUAACGAGGAAUAAUUGGAGGGUAAGUCUGGUGUCAGUAGUUGCAAUAAUUCCAGUUUUAAUAGCAUAUAUUAAAAUUGUUGUAGUUAAAAAGUUUGUAGUUGAACCUUGGGUUUGGCUGUUUGGUCUGUUUAAUUGUGUGCAUUGAUGUGGCUGGAUCUUUUCUUUUGGCUAACCUCAUACCCUUUAUUGGGUGUGCUGGGGAUUUAGGAUUUUUAUUUUGAAAAAAUUAAAGUAUUUAAAGCAAGCUUUUAUUUAAAUAUAUUAGUAUAAAAUAAUAGAAUAAAAUGGUGGUUUUAUUUUAUUAAUUUCUAAAAUUAUUAUAAUAAUUAAUAAAAAUAGUUGAAAAUAUUAAUAUUCAAUUGUCAGAAAUAAAAUUCUUAAAUUUAUUAAAGAUUAACUAUUACGAAAAUAUUUAUUAAAAAUGUUUUUAUUAAUUAAUAAACAAAAAUUAAAAAAUUAAAGAUAAUUAAAUAUUGUUAUAAUUUUAAUUAUAAACUAUAUUAAUUAAAAAUUGGAUGGUAUUUAAUUUAUAAUCUAUUUAAUAUUUUAUAAGAAAUUAAAGUUUUUAGAUUUUAAAGGAAAUAUAAUUGCAAGGUUGAAACUUAAAGGAAUUAAUAAAAAAGUAUUAUUAAAUGUGGAGUCUACAGUUUAAUUUGAUUUAAUAUAAAAAAAUUUAUUAAAUCCAAAUAUAUUAAAGAUUAAUAAAUUGAGAGUUCUUUUUUAAUUAUAUGGAUAAUAAUAUAUAACCAUUUUUAGUUAAUAAAAUAAUUUGUCUACUUAAUUGCGAUAAUGAAUAAGACUUUAAUUUGUUAAAUAGCUUGGUUAAUUUUUGUUGGUUAUUGGUUUCUUAGAGGGAUUAUCGGUUUAAGUUGAUGGAAGUUUGAGGUAAUAAUAGGUUUAUAAUAUUUUUAAAUGUUUUGGGUUGUAUGCAUAUUAUAUUGAUAAAGUUAAUGAGUAUAAUUUUUAGUUAAAAGGUUUAGAUAAUUUUGUUAAACUUUGUUAUAUUGGGGAUAGGGUAUUACAAUUAUUACUUUUUAAUGAGGAAUAUUUAGUAAACAUAAGUUAUUAGUUUAUAUUGAUUAUAUCUUUGCUUUUUGUAUAUAUUGUUUGUUGUUAUUAUUGAUUGAAUGGUUUAGUAAGGUUUUUAGACUAGCUUUAGAAGGUUAAUAAUAACUAUUUAGAGUCGGAAAGUUGGUUAAAUUUGGUUAUUUAGAGGAAGUAAAAGUUGUAAUAAAGUUUUUGUAGGUGAACUUGUGGAAAGAUUAUUA